rnacentral:rRNA from 1 species
UACGAAGGGGGCUAGCGUUGCUCGGAAUUACUGGGCGUAAAGGGCUCGUAGGCGGCCAACUAAGUCAGACGUGAAAUCCCUCGGCUUAACCGGGGAACUGCGUCUGAUACUGGAUGGCUAGAGAUUGGGAGAGGGAUGCGGAAUUCCAGGUGUAGCGGUGAAAUGCGUAGAUAUCUGGAGGAACACCGGUGGCGAAGGCGGCAUCCUGGACCAACACUGACGCUGAGGAGCGAAAGCCAGGGGAGCAAACGGG